rnacentral:snRNA from 1 species
GUUCUCACUUUCGUAGCACAGGUACUAAAAUUGGAACGAUAAAGAGAAGAUUAGCAUGGCCCCUGCACAAGGAUGACACGUAAAAAAGAUAUCUAU